UACGUAGGGUGCAAGCGUUAAUCGGAAUUACUGGGCGUAAAGCGUGCGCAGGCGGUUGGAUAAGUCUGAUGUGAAAUCCCCGAGCUCAACUUGGGAACUGCAUUGGAGACUGUUCAGCUAGAGUACGUCAGAGGGGGGUGGAAUUCCACGUGUAGCAGUGAAAUGCGUAGAGAUGUGGAGGAACACCGAUGGCGAAGGCAGCCCCCUGGGAUGAUACUGACGCUCAUGCACGAAAGCGUGGGGAGCAAACAGG
rnacentral:rRNA from 1 species